ensembl:misc_RNA 7SK 7SK RNA
GGACAUUAGAGCAAUCUGACACUGACAUCUGUCACUCCACGUAUGCCAGGUUUGAUUGGAGGGAUUUGGCCAGGUGGAAGAUGUCCAGUGAUUCCCUCACUGUUCAACAUUUGUCAUUCUGCCAUGGGCAUUGGCUAUAUCUUCACUUGUCACCCAAGUCAAAGAGGGUGAUGCUCCCAGAUAGAGGAGGACCAUACUGUAAUCCAAGCUAUAGAAUUAGUUGAACAAUCCUGCUGGAACCUCAAAACAGGUCUGCAAGGUGUAUACUGAAAUGUCAAUUUAAGUUCUACUUUCAGUUUGUAAAAUAUUAAACAUAUUUUA